rnacentral:rRNA from 1 species
AGUAAAUAGAUACCCCGGUAGUCCACGCCGUAAACGAAUGAGUACUAGGUGUAGGAGGUAUCGACUCCUUCUGUGCCGCAGUUAAACACAAUAAGUACUCCGCCUGGGAAGUACGGUCGCAAGAUUAAAACUACAAAGGAAUUGACGGGGGCCCGGCACAAGCAGCGGAGCAUGUGGUUUAAAUUCGAAGCAACGCGAAGAACCUUACCUAGACUUGACAUCUCCUGAAUAGUGUAGAGAUACAUGAAGCCCUUCGGGGUCGAGGAAGACAGGUGGUGCAUGGUUGUCGUCAGCUCGUGUCGUGAGAUGUUGGGUUAAGUCCCGCAACGAGCGCAACCCUUACUUACUAGUUGCUACCAUUAAGUUGAGCACUCUAGUGAGACUGCCCGGGGUUAA